rnacentral:rRNA from 1 species
UACAGAGGUCUCAAGCGUUGUUCGGAUUCAUUGGGCGUAAAGGGUGUGUAGGUGGCGCCGUAAGUCGGGUGUGAAAUCUCGGAGCUUAACUCCGAAACUGCAUUCGAUACUGCCGUGCUUGAGGACUGGAGAGGAGACUGGAAUUUACGGUGUAGCGGUGAAAUGCGUAGAUAUCGUAAGGAAGACCAGUGGCGAAGGCGAGUCUCUGGACAGUUCCUGACGCUGAGGCACGAAGGCCAGGGGAGCAAACGGG